rnacentral:rRNA from 1 species
GAUGAACGCUGGCGGCGUGCCUAAUACAUGCAAGUCGAGCGAACAGACGAGGAGCUUGCUCCUCUGACGUUAGCGGCGGACGGGUGAGUAACACGUGGAUAACCUACCUAUAAGACUGGGAUAACUUCGGGAAACCGGAGCUAAUACCGGAUAAUAUAUUGAACCGCAUGGUUCAAUAGUGAAAGACGGUUUUGCUGUCACUUAUAGAUGGAUCCGCGCCGCAUUAGCUAGUUGGUAAGGUAACGGCUUACCAAGGCAACGAUGCGUAGCCGACCUGGGGGGGUGAUCGGCCACACUGGAACUGAGACACGGUCCAGACUCCUACGGGAGGCAGCAGUAGGGAAUCUUCCGCAAUGGGCGAAAGCCUGACGGAGCAACGCCGCGUGAGUGAUGAAGGUCUUCGGAUCGUAAAACUCUGUUAUUAGGGAAGAACAAAUGUGUAAGUAACUAUGCACGUCUUGACGGUACCUAAUCAGAAAGCCACGGCUAACUACGUG